rnacentral:rRNA from 1 species
UAGGGAAUCUUCCGCAAUGGACGCAAGUCUGACGGAGCAACGCCGCGUGAGUGAAGAAGGAUUUCGGUUCGUAAAACUCUGUUAUUAGAGAAGAACAGCGCAUAGAGUAACUGUUAUGCGUGUGACGGUAUCUAACCAGAAAGCCACGGCUAACUACGUGCCAGCAGCCGCGGUAAUACGUAGGUGGCAAGCGUUGUCCGGAUUUAUUGGGCGUAAAGCGAGCGCAGGCGGUCAAUUAAGUCUGAUGUGAAAGCCCCCGGCUCAACCGGGGAGGGUCAUUGGAAACUGGUUGACUUGAGUGCAGAAGAGGAGAGUGGAAUUCCAUGUGUAACGGUGAAAUGCGUAGAUAUAUGGAGGAACACCAGUGGCGAAGGCGACUCUCUGGUCUGUAACUGACGCUGAGGCUCGAAAGCGUGGGUAGCAAACAGG